GACGAACGCUGGCGGCGUGCUUAACACAUGCAAGUCGAACGGAAAGGCCCUGCUUUUGUGGGGUGCUCGAGUGGCGAACGGGUGAGUAACACGUGAGUAACCUGCCCUUGACUUUGGGAUAACUUCAGGAAACUGGGGCUAAUACCGGAUAGGAGCUCUUGCUGCAUGGUGGGGGUUGGAAAGUUUCGGCGGUUGGGGAUGGACUCGCGGCUUAUCAGCGUGUUGGUGGGGUAGUGGCUUACCAAGGCUUUGACGGGUAGCCGGCCUGAGAGGGUGACCGGCCACAUUGGGACUGAGAUACGGCCCAGACUCCUACGGGAGGCAGCAGUGGGGAAUAUUGCACAAUGGGCGGAAGCCUGAUGCAGCAACGCCGCGUGCGGGAUGACGGCCUUCGGGUUGUAAACCGCUUUCGCCUGUGACGAAGCGUGAGUGACGGUAAUGGGUAAAGAAGCACCGGCUAACUACGU
rnacentral:rRNA from 1 species